rnacentral:rRNA from 1 species
UGGGGAAUUUUGGACAAUGGGCGAAAGCCUGAUCCAGCAAUGCCGCGUGUGUGAAGAAGGCCUUCGGGUUGUAAAGCACUUUUGUCCGGAAAGAAAUCCUUGGCUCUAAUACAGUCGGGGGAUGACGGUACCGGAAGAAUAAGCACCGGCUAACUACGUGCCAGCAGCCGCGGUAAUACGUAGGGUGCAAGCGUUAAUCGGAAUUACUGGGCGUAAAGCGUGCGCAGGCGGUUUGCUAAGGCCGAUGUGAAAUCCCCGGGCUCAACCUGGGAACUGCAUUGGUGACUGGCAGGCUAGAGUAUGGCAGAGGGGGGUAGAAUUCCACGUGUAGCAGUGAAAUGCGUAGAGACGUGGAGGAAUACCGAUGGCGAAGGCAGCCCCCUGGGCCAAUACUGACGCUCAUGCACGAAAGCGUGGGGAGCAAACAGGAUUAGAUACCCUGGUAGUCCACGCCCUAAACGAUGUCAACUAGUUGUUGGGGAUUCAUUUCCUUAGUAACGUAGCUAACGCGUGAAGUUGACCGCCUGGGGAGUACGGUCGCAAGAUU